UGGGGAAUAUUGCACAAUGGGCGCAAGCCUGAUGCAGCGACGCCGCGUGGGGGAUGAAGGCCUUCGGGUUGUAAACUCCUUUCGCUAGGGAAGAAGCCACUUGUGGUGACGGUACCUGGAUAAGAAGCACCGGCUAACUACGUGCCAGCAGCCGCGGUAAUACGUAGGGUGCGAGCGUUGUCCGGAAUUACUGGGCGUAAAGAGCUCGUAGGUGGUUUGUCGCGUCGUCUGUGAAAUUCCGGGGCUUAACUUCGGGCGUGCAGGCGAUACGGGCAUAACUAGAGUGCUGUAGGGGAGACUGGAAUUCCUGGUGUAGCGGUGAAAUGCGCAGAUAUCAGGAGGAACACCGAUGGCGAAGGCAGGUCUCUGGGCAGUUACUGACGCUGAGGAGCGAAAGCAUGGGUAGCGAACAGGAUUAGAUACCCCCGUAGUCC
rnacentral:rRNA from 1 species